rnacentral:rRNA from 1 species
UGCCAGCAGCCGCGGUAAUACGGAGGGGGUUAGCGUUGUUCGGAAUUACUGGGCGUAAAGCGCACGUAGGCGGAUUAGUAAGUUAGGGGUGAAAUCCCGGGGCUCAACCCUGGAACUGCCUUUGAUACUGCUAGUCUAGAAUCUGUAAGGGGGUGGUGGAAUUCCGAGUGUAGAGGUGAAAUUCGUAGAUAUUCGGAGGAACACCAGUGGCGAAGGCGACCACCUGGUACAGUAUUGACGCUGAGAUGCGAAAGCGUGGGGAGCAAACAGGAUUAGAUA